rnacentral:rRNA from 1 species
GUCGCGAAUCUUUCGCAAUGCCCGAAAGGGUGACGAAGCGACGCCGCGUGUGGGAAGAAGGCCUUCGGGUUGUAAACCACUGUCGGGAGUUAGGAAAUGCAGGUGCGUUAAUAGCGCACUUGCUUGACUAAGGCUCCAGAGGAAGCCACGGCUAACUCUGUGCCAGCAGCCGCGGUAAUACAGAGGCGGCAAGCGUUGUUCGGAAUUAUUGGGCGUAAAGAGCACGUAGGCGGCCUUGCAAGUCAGUUGUGAAAGCCUUCCGCUUAACGGAAGAACGGCAUCUGAUACUACAGGGCUUGAGUACGGGAGGGGAGAGUGGAACUUCUGGUGGAGCGGUGAAAUGCGUAGAUAUCAGAAGGAACGCCGGCGGCGAAAGCGACUCUCUGGUCCGAAACUGACGCUGAGUGUGCGAAAGCUAGGGGAGCAAACGGGAUUAGAUACCCUAGUAGUCC